AGCGGUAAUAAUAUUACGAUAUUAGAAGGGCAAGUCGUUGUGGAGGUAUUGGCGUUUAAUCGCUGAAUGUGUCGGGAAUAUCGAAAACAAAACUAACUUUACCCCGCUCUUCAAGCACCACACUUUCACGCCUCACUUUAUCACACUAUCUUUAGUAGUCGAGGUAAUUGUUCUACCCUGUCGACGAGUUAUACAGCUGAUUUCUGCAGUGCGCAGUGUACAUGUUAUAAGAUGGUGAUCAGUGACAUCGUCGCUUUGAGGUAUAAUAUUGGUUACAUCGGCUCCGUGAGAUAUAAUCAAGUCUAGUGUAUGAUUAAAUCGAUGAGUGGGUCCAUUGAUGUGUUGUGUUACUCCAAAAGAGUGUAUAGUAGCUCUGUAAACGCCACUGCUAAUGCAUCGUUAGCACUAUCUACGUGGAUAUUAAAAUCUCCGACAAUUAGUACUUUAUCAACGUUAACCAAUAGGUCCGAUAAGAAGUCCGCGAACUCUUUCAGAAAAUCAGUGUAGGGACCAGGGGGUCUAUACACAGUAGCCAAUGUAAGAGAAAGCAAUGGUUUUUUUACUUUCGUUUGGAACAAUUAUGUUCAACGCAAGCACUUUAAAUGAUUUAAAUUUAUGCUCUGUUCUCUGAGUUACAGUAAGAAAGUCUCUAAAGAUUGAUGCAACACCACCACCUCGACCAACCGGACGUGGCUCAUGCACCACACAGAAGUAUUCUCGUCGCUUCAAAUUUUUUUUAAUUGAGCCACUAUGAGCGGAUGGACCAAUUUCACGAUGUCUUUAGUACUUUUCUGGACCUUGACAACAACUAUAACCACGAUGUCUAUGAGGAGGCCUGGAAAUCUCUCGGAUGUCACCUAAAUAUCUUUAGUUGUGCUCCGAAGACGCCGGGAGGCCUUAAAACAUGUUGAACGUCAUGUGGUGUUGAGCUGGAGAAGAUGGCGGCUGUUGUAGUGAACGCUGAUGGAGAGGUCGCGUCUCUGGACUCGGGUUCAGUUUCUCCGCGGUUAUCCUCACCGUCACCGGAUCAGCCGCACCAGAACAACGCGCUGCUGUCGCUGCCGAUUGUGGCCAUCGACACUAUCCUCAACUUCCUGUCUUACGAUGAGAUCAGUCUGCUUAGACCGGUGAGAAAACAACGACUGCAGACAAACAGCUGCGAGAUCGCCUUAUAUUCCACGUUGUGUGAAACAGUAGUAAGAUGAAAACAGCAGUAAGAUGAAAAUAGCAGAUCGGGAUGUUAUGGGCGCGUGGCAAACGCGCGUUUACUGCCAUGUCCAGAUCUGCAGCAGACGCCUGUGAUGUCUAGAUAUGCUGUCUGCUCGCUAGUGCACUAGACUCCCUAACACUGAUGGGCAACAGUUUUGUUUAGUUAGGCAGCCAGAUGUCGUCUAGAUGGAUAGCUAGCUGGGUGGGUGAAAAGCUGUCUAUAUAGGAAAUUCACUAGGCUGUAUAUGUGUGUAGAUAAAAUAGUGAGUGCACAAUGCGUCCUGUAAAAGCUUCUGGUGCACGUGUCCGUUUUAAAAGGGUUGUAAUAACCCAUAAACAUCUAUAAAAGCAGCUAAGUUAAUAUGCUUUCCAUUCAUAUGCACCCAUUUCUUAUCAAUGCUUUUUCUUAGUGUCACUACUGAAAACACUUGUUUUGAGAUUCAUGCAUAUAUUUUCACAACUGGUUUAGGUUUAAUUCAUCUAAAAAUCACAAAAUGUUGUUAAAUCCUGUUAUGGUUUAUUUCAGCACUCAGUAGGGGUGUAACGUCAUUGUAGUAGGAUGCUUUGCAAUACGUAAAAACAUUGUGUAUUAUAUGACAAUUUCUGAAGUCUGUUUAUUCCUUUUGAGUGACCUGCCAAGAUGCAAAGAUCCCAGCUUAUGGAUAAGAAGGUGGAUAUGAUGGUAUAUUUGUGAAAGAAAAACAUUUUUGGACAGGAUACAUUUUUUCUGCUUUUAGUGCAUAAAGUCCCCAUGAAAUUAAACUUAUUUACUGUUAGCUCACACAGGGCUCUAGACUCAUUUUUCGCACUCGUCGCACUGGUGCGAUCCACUUUCUCAGUGGGUUUUUUUGUGGAUUUACACAAAAGUAAAUCCACUUUCUCAGUGGGUCGCACCAACUUACAAUUCGGUCGCACCCUUUUUUAUAGUAAUCAUAAAGACCUUACAUAAUGAUCUCAGUUGAUGAAUCGUUCUGUUAAUUUGUCACUCUGUCUUUUAAAGUAGUCGGCUAUAGAUCGCUUCAUAUUUGCGCUUUAACACUUGCGAGUGACCCAAAAAAUCCAAAAUAAAUGCAAAGAAACUUUGUAUUUGUUAUUUUAUACAGUUGUUAUUAUUUAGUUUAUAUUCAAAUUAUAUAUUGGCUAUGAAAUAAUCUGACACAAAUAUAACCUGUCACUUCACAAUCAUAUUUUAUUACCCUCUUUGCAAAAAGCUGAUAUUUUGCCACUGGCCUUCUUUAUUUUUACCACAUAAAAUUAAAUCAAAUUAGCUAGCUCAAAACUCAAAAGUAACUCAGAACGAAAUUAUUAUAUAUGUACUUUACUACUCAUUUUCAUAAAUAAACUUUAAAUACUUAAUCUUACUAACCACUCUUGUUAAAUGGUCUAAGCACGCUUGUGUUCUGAUGUGUUUUGAGUCACGGCUUCAGAGUCAGACAGUGAAUCUCGUAAGUUCAGUGUUUGACAUAGGAGUUGUUUCAACAAAAUGAAUCGGUUCAAAUGAGUCAUUACGUCGCGAAUCGGACAUUAGCGGACAUUGACGCGAUUUUUGUUUUUCACAGCUGUUAGGACAAAGCAAAAGAUAGAAGUUAACACGGAAAACACUUCACUGGAUAGGAUUUUUCCUUUAUGUCAGCUGGAUGUGUGGAACAUAUUAAUAAAAAUAUUCUCUGAAUGCGCCAUGUGAAACAUGAAUUUUGUCUUCCGACAUGGCUUUUGAUUAAAGUGUAAGGGAAAGAGACAGUUCAGAAACCGGCAUGUUCGUCUUCAUUAAGGACUGCACAGAACGAUCGGAAUAUGACAUCAAUGUUCUGUGAGAGCGUUUUAAAAGCAUAUUGAGCGCUCUGUCCCGUGAUGCUUUUAUGCUCUUCGGUCUAUGCAAAACUGAAUGAAGUCAAACACACACUUUAGUUUGGAGACAGAGGGAGUGCACAAGCUCUCUGCUUGCUCUUCCCUGCACUAAUCACAAGCGCGUCAUUCACUACUCAUAAAUCACAUUAAAUGUUUACAUAAAUCUUUGGCGAGGCAAAAAUUCCUUUAACGCGCUCGCAGCAAUGCGACCCUGUGAAAUCGCACGUUAUAAAAAACCGAUCGCAUUUGCGAGCAAUUUGGUCGCAGUCUAUAGCCCUGUCACAUUACUAGUUUAGUGUUAACCAGUUCAUCUGUGCAAGUCACAAUACUAAAGUCAAUUUUAGCAUCUGCUUCACACAGACUUUAAGAAAGGAAUAAGCAGCCAUGUUUGCAACUCCUCUGGGCUGCGUUUCCCAAAAGUAGGGAUGGGGAGUCGACUCCAAAAGAGUCGAUUCCUCGACUCUUAAUGUCGCUAAAGUCGGAAUCGAAUCCAAGACAGGAAUCGACUCGUCGACUCCGUAAUUUUUAAUGUUGUCAUUGACUCAAAUCGGUUACAUUGUCUUUGUGAUUGGCGCAAAGCAACGAAUAACAUUUAAAAACCAAUCAGGUAAAAGUCAUACCUCUCUCUCUGAUCGUACACGUUUACAGCCGAUCCAAAACACUGCAUUAAUCAGAGCAUGAGCGACGCCUACUUGUUCGCUCACAAAAGUACACGCAAUAUUUCCCAUUCAUUCUUCACCUUCAAUCCGAUCUCAUUAUAUUCUAAAAAAUUCCUAUUAAAAACUCCUAAAUUUCGUCUGUCGCUCUUCAAGCUUUUAUUUCUCUAAACGACUGUUAAGAUUUUGUAAGUUGCUUUAAAUGAAAGCGUGGCGCUAUGCUUAAAUGUGAGUCUGUGCGCAUAACUGGACACAAAUCAAAAUCAAGUUUGUGGAAACAAAUUAUAAAGCGUAUUCAUUUGUGUAACUGUAACUCUCCAAAAUCGAUGCAAUAAAAAAAUAUAAAAACAAUAAAGGAAACGAAAUGUCUUAGCUUUACCAUAAGUCUAAAGCUACGAUUAGACCUGGGCCGUCAUGUCCUUGCACUGCGUGCACUUGGAAAACCACAUCGGUUUAGGACCAGCAAGGAGUAACUGGUCUGACAGCACAAAAAACUCUCUGUGAUGGUGUUAGAUGCACAAAUGCAUGUGUAUAUAGUGACUUUGGAGAUUGGUUGCCAGCCCAACGUUCCCAAGCUGAAGUUCAUUCAUUUAUUUUAUAUUCGUAUUCCUGAGCCCGUUUUGAAUGACAGUAAAUGGAGUCGAUUCCAUCGACUCCAAAAGUGGGAGUCGAGAAUCUGAGUCGACUCCAAAAAACCCGGAACCGAACACACCUACCCAAAAGCAUCGUAAACCCACAUUAAUCAUAGCUCCAUUGGUGACAGUGGUUCUAAAAUCAGUUUAAGAUUACGAUACCCCUGCAGCCCUGGGCAGUUAUUUACGUAAUAGCAAGUCAACAGUCCUAUCUCCUUGAAUGGUGGGAGGCAGAUAUUUCUAAAAUGGCUGGCAAAACAUCACAAUUAAAUGGCAUAUUUCCGCUAAAAAUCAAGGUCGUUUCAGCUACUGCACAUGGGCACAGGCUGGCAGGUGGCUCACAAGAACCCCGCUUCAGAUAAUUGUCUUUAUCGAUUGACCUUUUUAUGGGAGUUGGGACCGUUGCAUUCCCAUCCAUGAACUUGAUAACAAUUAUGGGCAUCAACAUUUUAUUUAAAACGGUUUUGUUUUGUUGUGGAAAUAAAUGCGAUAUUUGAGUUCCAGCUUCAUUUUUAAAUGUUGUUUAAAGAGCAGGUUUCAUGAAUCUCAUAAAAUUACCGGCAUUUCAGUGUGUAAUGUAGCGUUCCUUCAAUUUUGACGAUCUGCAAAGUUGUUAUUUCAAAAAGUCCAUGAUAAAUUAAGAUAUUGGCUUCCAAAGUAAGGAGUCGACUCCGAACCGCCCAAACAAAUCGUUAGGCUUUCAAAUCUUUUGAGUGUAACAUCGAUAUGUCACAGUGUAAUGCAUCAGCACAAUCCCCGCCUUCCCGCGAAACAGGAACACUCUGACCUGCCCACUAGCACUUCAGGUAGUGUUGCGUAUACAACAUGUCAAGGAGACGCUGUGUUUUGUGCUGUGAAUGCAAAUGUACUUAGUUUUCGCUGCCAAAGGAUGACGAUGUGAAGGAUCAGUGGCUAUUUUUUUUUCCCACGAUACAACUGCAGUACAAUUCCAACCUUGUGUAAUGUGCUCGUCAUUUUACCGCCGACUGCUUCUCAAAUUUUGGCGAGUUCAACGCGGGAUUUGCCAGCCGCUAGACCCUGAAAGAUAAGUCAAUACCAACUUUAUUUGGACUAACAAGCGUCUCAGAACCACAAGCUGUAAGUAUGAUAAAUACGUUAUGUGUACAUGUUAAAUUGAGUGCUUACAAUAUACGUUAAAGUAAUUGUGCUAAUCCGUGUUGUAUAUUUAGUACAGCUGUAGGUUUCCAGGUAAACAACGUAUAAGUUAACAGUGUUACAGUUUUAAUAAUCCAACUCUUACCUAAUAAUG